AUCUAGCUGACGAGUCACAAAUGAAACGAAACGCGCGUCCUGGAU
rnacentral:hammerhead_ribozyme from 1 species